rnacentral:sRNA from 1 species
UCCAAAUUGUUUUAACGAAGUCCUCGGG